rnacentral:misc_RNA from 1 species
AGAAUAAAAUAUUUACUACAAUAUUUAGUCGACGAUACAAAUUUUUAUUUAAAUUCUGUUUCUUUAAUUAUCUCCACAAGAGACACGAAUUUACAUAAAAAUACUCGGUCCAUAUAAUAAUUAAUUGCGUAAUUGUAAGAUUCGCCUUUAUGGUUCGUUGAAUAACCAAUAGACUCUUCUCGUCCUCGUUCCGUGAAAUAUCCGUUAGAUCAAAAUAUGUAUUUUCACGACAUUGUUCUUGUAAUAAGUAACCAUAAAACUGAUUAGUCUUUCACUUUCUUCAAUCGUGAGGAAACACUAUGGCCGAAGACGCGAUAAGAGGAGAGAAGAGAAGAGAAGAGUUAAUAGCGAUGCAAUUAGGAUAUAUAUCGAAUCCGUACGAAACCGAAGGUAAACGCGUUUCGUGUUCACGCGUGAAUCGUUCGCGAAACGUGUCUGUGCGUCGUGCGUUAAUGAAUCAUUUUUAUUCUUGUAAUCGUUGCCUCGAGAUUAUUCAACCGAUUCAAUGGAACACCUCGUUUUUCCUCAUGAAUAAACAAGUACACGUCGAUAGAAAUUUUUUCUUCUGCGAAUCGAUCUUCCUCGAAUCACAGCGAAAGAAAUCUUUUGAAAAGUCGACUCGAAUACGAAGAAAUUCCAACUUAACUUCGAA